UGAUCGCACUGCUAGUUGAAA
ensembl:piRNA 21ur-4682 ncRNA